rnacentral:rRNA from 1 species
GACGAAGGAUGCAAGCGUUAUCCGGAUUCAUUGGGCUUAAAGGGCGCGUAGGUGGUCUUAUAAGUCAGUGGUGAAAUCUCGCAGCUUAACUGCGAAACUGCCAUUGAUACUGUAGGACUUGAGUAUAGUUGCUGUGGGCGGAAUAUGACAUGUAGUGGUGAAAUACUUAGAGAUGUCAUAGAACACCGAUUGCGAAGGCAGCUCACAAAACUAUAACUGACACUGAGGCUCGAAAGUGCGGGGAUCAAACAGG